rfam:Dipodomys ordii contig_41254, whole genome shotgun sequence.
GGUGGCUCAGUGGUACAGAGCUUGCCUUGCAUGCAUGAGGCCUUGGGUUCGAUUCCCUAGCACCA